rnacentral:lncRNA from 1 species
CACUGCUAGGGUAAUAGUAGUAAUAAUAAAAUGGUUUUAAUCAGAUGGACUGAUCUUUCAGGUCUAGGAAAUAGGGUGGGGGAAGUUCAGGGGAAAGAUAAAUUCAGGGUCGGUUUCAUAAAUCAGGCUAUGCAUCUAAAGUAAGAGAGAAAGGUUAAUGCAGAACAUGACCAGAAGGACUUUGGUGAGAAUCAGGUUCUGGUCACCUGAUCAAAGUAGAGUGCAAGACUUCCUUUCCAACGGGCACCAGAGAUUUGAGGCCGUAGAAAUAUGGGAGAGAACAGGGAAUGGACUAAGUGAGUAAGUCAACCACAUCUACUCCUUGUCCAGUCUCUUAUGUCACUGUUCUGCGGUUAUACUAGUAGAGCAUUUCCUCAUCUGGGAAGUCUGCAACUUAAAGUCUGUGGGAAAUGUUCAGUUUAUUCUAACAAGGUAAUUCAUACAGAAAAGGGUCAAGAAAACUGGGAACUAUCAUUCAAAAGCCUCAGACCUCUGCUCUGGGUAUAGAACAGUAGACUAUUACAAACUCUUCUGGUUUGCACAGAAGAAAAAUGUUGACAAAUUGCCCAGCUGCAUUUUCUGUGUUAUAAAAUUGAAGUAGGGGGAGGCAGUCAGCAGAUGCUGGCUAUACAUUGCACUUAGCCUGGGAUGGGGUCAGGACAGCACGGACAGACACUGUUUAAUGGAAAGACCUAUGUCACAAUGCACUGAAUUUCUCACAGCAAGGCUGUAAAUGACAUCAAAAUACAGACAUCUAAGCUGAGACCCUUAGCAUCAUCCUCAAAGCACAAAAUGUUCACGGAGGGAAACCCUGGAAUCUCCCCCUGAAAACCUGUUAAUGUGGCUGAGAGCUCAAAACUGAAUCAUUGAAAACAGUAUAUUUUAUGGACAUAGAGAAAGAUGCUGCUUUUCUCCUGACAAUCUUCAAAGAGGGACCAGGUCAUGAUAAAGCAAAGCUGAAAGUCACUGCAGAGCAGGUCAGCAACCCACAGAGACAAUCUUCCCUAAAUUGGCACUUUAAUGCCUUGGGUUUUAGCAUUCUGGCCUCAGAUGGAAAACCUGUAUGGACUCAGGACUGGAAUUAGAAAAUUUUAAGAGAACAAAAGCAAAAGGAAGUUUUGCUGCUAACUGUCUCUAUCAAGUUUUUCUACAUUGAAGACAAACUGUGUAUGUGAUUUGUUCUCCUCAAAUGAGAUAUUCAGGGUACGUUGCUCAAAUAAAGAGGGCAAAGCGAUAUGGAGCACAUAGAAAAGAAGAGCGUUUACAUUGAAAGUGAAUUCCGGAGCAAGGAAGUUAUUGGCAUUCGUUUAGUGUACCACAAUGCUAGGGCUGAGGCCUCCGGGAUCCUCUGGGCCUUUUUCAUGGUUGAAAAAUGACAGUGGCAGCUUCAUUCCUUGUGCCCAGUUCCAGAGAGGAGGAAUGAGAAAGGAGCAAGAAGAAAAGGCUGACAUCUAUGGGAAGCCAAACUUUUUCAGGAAUCCCCUGCUCAGCACAAUCAUAACUACAUAGAUGAUUACAGUUGUAUGUUCGGAGAAAAAGAGGAGAGAGAAGACUAAGACUCAUAGGAAAGAAUCCUGCUUUUAUUAAUCAUUCAUACAUAUUUUCAUUUAUGUUUUGAAAGCCAACAACAUACCAGGCUGUCUGUUUGGCACUUAAUAUCUUCAGUCUGACCGAUACCAACUUCGGUUUUCUUGUGGAAAAAAUAAGGAUGUGGUAAGUUCAGACCCUUAACAUUCGAGAAAACCAAACAUAAUGAGCUACUGGUAAUCUUCUAGAUAUAAAUCCACCUAUUACCUCUGGAACUAUGACUGACUUUACCUUGUACCUGAAAUUAUCUUCUCUUUUUCAUUGACCAGCUCCUCCUGGGCAUUCAGAAUCCAGCAGGAACACUAUCGCCUCUAUGAACCCCAUACCAGCCCAGGCUAAGUAAGAUGCUGUGGUAGAUUACAUUUUCCAAAGAUGGCUACACCAAGAUAUAUCCUGCCCCACAUAUCCUUCUUAUACCAUGACACUGACACGUCUCCAUCAAGAGAUGAGAUCCUUGUUCCCCUACCUUGACCUGGGUGGACCUUUGUAACUGCCUCAAACAACAGUGUGACAGAAGUGCAUGACCUCUCAGAUGUAUUUGUCGGGGUUUUCCAGAGAAACAGAAUCAAUAGGAUGUAUGCGUGUGUAUGCAUGUGUGUGCGUGUGUGUGUGUGUAGAGA